UACGUAGGUGGCGAGCGUUGUCCGGAUUUACUGGGCGUAAAGCGCGCGCAGGCGGUCCGGUAAGUCUCCGGUGAAAUCGCCCGGCUCAACUGGGCGGGUGCCGGGGAGACUGGCGGACUUGAGGAGCCUAGAGGCCGGUGGAACUCCCGGUGUAGUGGUGAAAUGCGUAGAGAUCGGGAAGAACACCAGUGGCGAAGGCGGCCGGCUGGGGGGUGUCCUGACGCUGAGGCGCGAGAGCGUGGGGAGCAAACCGG
rnacentral:rRNA from 1 species